GAUGAACGCUGGCGGCGUGCCCAAUACAUGCAAGUCGAGCGAACAGAUGAGGAGCUUGCUCCUCUGACGUUAGCGGCGGACGGGUGAGUAACACGUGGAUAACCUACCUAUAAGACUGGGAUAACUUCGGGAAACCGGAGCUAAUACCGGAUAAUAUAUUGAACCGCAUGGUUCAAUAGUGAAAGACGGUUUUGCUGUCACUUAUAGAUGGAUCCGCGCCGCAUUAGCUAGUUGGUAAGGUAACGGCUUACCAAGGCGACGAUGCGUAGCCGACCUGAGAGGGUGAUCGGCCACACUGGAACUGAGACACGGUCCAGACUCCUACGGGAGGCAGCAGUAGGGAAUCUUCCGCAAUGGGCGAAAGCUUGACGGAGCAACGCCGCGUGAGUGAUGAAGGUCUUCGGAUCGUAAAACUCUGUUAUUAGGGAAGAACAAAUGUGUAAGUAACUAUGCACGUCUUGACGGUACCUAAUCAGAAAGCCACGGCUAACUACGUG
rnacentral:rRNA from 1 species